rnacentral:rRNA from 1 species
GACGAACGCUGGCGGCGUGCUUAACACAUGCAAGUCGAACGGAAAGGCCCUGCUUUUGUGGGGUGCUCGAGUGGCGAACGGGUGAGUAACACGUGAGUAACCUGCCCUUGACUUUGGGAUAACUUCAGGAAACUGGGGCUAAUACCGGAUAGGAGCUCUUGCUGCAUGGUGGGGGUUGGAAAGUUUCGGCGGUUGGGGAUGGACUCGCGGCUUAUCAGCUUGUUGGUGGGGUAGUGGCUUACCAAGGCUUUGACGGGUAGCCGGCCUGAGAGGGUGACCGGCCACAUUGGGACUGAGAUACGGCCCAGACUCCUACGGGAGACAGCAGUGGGGAAUAUUGCACAAUGGGCGGAAGCCUGAUGCAGCAACGCCGCGUGCGGGAUGACGGCCUUCGGGUUGUAAACCGCUUUCGCCUGUGACGAAGCGUGAGUGACGGUAAUGGGUAAAGAAGCACCGGCUAACUACGUG